UAAUACAGAGGGUGCAAGCGUUAAUCGGAAUUACUGGGCGUAAAGCGCAUGUAGGUUGUUAUAUAAGUUUGAUGUGAAAGCCCUGGGCUUAACCUGGGAAUUGCGUUGAAUACUGUAUGACUAGAGUCGGAUAGAGGGUAGUGGAAUUUCAGGUGUAGCGGUGAAAUGCGUAGAUAUCUGAAAGAACACCAGUGGCGAAGGCGGCUACCUGGAUCCAGACUGACACUGAGAUGCGAAAGCGUGGGGAGCAAACAGGAUUAGAUACCCUGGUAGUCCACGCUGUAAACGAUGAGAACUGGCUGUGCGAUGGGGUUUUACCUAUUGCGUAGCGAAGCUAACGCGUUAAGUUCUCCGCCUGGGGAGUACGGUCGCAAGAUUA
rnacentral:rRNA from 1 species